UGGGGAAUAUUGGACAAUGGGCGCAAGCCUGAUCCAGCCAUGCCGCGUGAGUGAUGAAGGCCCUAGGGUUGUAAAGCUCUUUCACCGGUGAAGAUAAUGACGGUAACCGGAGAAGAAGCCCCGGCUAACUUCGUGCCAGCAGCCGCGGUAAUACGAAGGGGGCUAGCGUUGUUCGGAUUUACUGGGCGUAAAGCGCACGUAGGCGGACUUUUAAGUCAGGGGUGAAAUCCCGGGGCUCAACCCCGGAACUGCCUUUGAUACUGGAAGUCUUGAGUAUGGUAGAGGUGAGUGGAAUUCCGAGUGUAGAGGUGAAAUUCGUAGAUAUUCGGAGGAACACCAGUGGCGAAGGCGGCUCACUGGACCAUUACUGACGCUGAAGUGCGAAAGCGUGGGGAGCAAACAGG
rnacentral:rRNA from 1 species